CCGUCGACAAGGACGGAGGGAAGGUGGGACGACGUCAAGUCAUCAUGGCCCUUAUGUCCGGGGCUACACACGUGCUACAAUGGCGUAUACAGAGGGCAGCGAGACAGUGAUGUUAAGCGAAUCCCAUAAAGUACGCCUCAGUUCAGAUUGUAGUCUGCAACUCGACUACAUGAAGUCGGAAUCGCUAGUAAUCGCAGGUCAGCAAAACUGCGGUGAAUACGUUCCCGGGCCUU
rnacentral:rRNA from 1 species